rnacentral:tRNA from 1 species
UCUAAUAUGGCAGAAUAGUGCAUUGGAUUUAAGCCCCAAUCAUAAAGAAUAAACUUUUUUUAGAA